GCGCUACAGGACGGAGUGAUCGGGUCUGUUGACCCUGGAAAGUCCCCGGGCCUCCAUCCGCAGAGAUGCAGUCACGUAAUGGUGUCUCGUCGAGCUUCGGGCCAGUAUGGCUGAGACACGUGUGGAGCCAUACGGGCCCGAACCGGAGAGAUUAAUUAUGGCCGUUGAAAACAGUUAUUCACUCGAUUCGUAACCGUUGGAUCAACAGAACGGGGCUUAUGAUCCUGUGGCG
rnacentral:RNase_MRP_RNA from 2 species